AUUAAACCCACUAUAUACGAACUUUGCUUCUACUUUCCUGAAACCUUCUAUUCUCUCCUGAUCUGUGAGCCCCCUCUCCCCCUCCCUCACCCCAGCUAUUGUCAUCGUGCGUUCGGCGAUGACGAGCGCGGUCGUUAGCAGAACUCUGGGUCGUGCAGUGAAUCAGCAGCCUUCAGAAAGACACAGUCCUCACGUCACAAAUGCCGAAUAAUAGAGCUCGUGAGAUCCUUUUAGACAGGAAGACAGCAGCGUGAACACGAUGAGGUAAACUCUGAAUGCAGAAAAUCCAGCUGAUGCUAUUUAAUGGACAACAGCUAUGGUCCCAAUCAGAAGAAAAAUAUUAUUGGAAAUCCAGCAGGUCAUACAAAUGUAAUUUUCCUCGACCUAUCUCACUUGAGAGAAACCUGAUGUCCUGUUACAGCUGCCAAGUUAGACUUGAGUGUCAGGAAACAUGUACAGGAGGCGGAUGCAGCAGCGGACCUUGUUUAAUGAAGGUGAAGCACACAUAAUACUGAGUACACUAAACCGGACUAGGACAGCAGAGCAAGGCAUAAACGUAAACACAAAUCAAGUGCUAUGAUUGCGACCACGGCAGACAAGCACUAAACACUGAGUGCUGUACUAGACUUGACCCAAAUACUAGUGCUGAUUAACGUGAAGGUGAAUUAUGUGCAAAGCAGUCAUGUGAUAUGAGUGUCGUGAGCAUGUGCUGUGCAGUGGCUGAUGGGAGAUGUAGUCCUUUGAGGAUUCAGCAUAACCGUGACACCACGUUGGACUAUCCAAAUCCAUUGUACGUUGGAUUUAUACACUAUUACACAUGAGCUUGAUUCUCUGAACCUGAAGCUACAGUAUUUUAUGCAUUGUAUAGCUGAUCAAGUGUACAGGUGAACUUAGAAAUGGAUAUAAAAAAACAACGCUACUAUUUUUAAUGCACAUUGCUAAGAAAUGUGUGGUGACAGAUCAGAACCCUGUAACGGGUGUGACCUCAGAGGUAAUUUUAGCUAUAUUAUUUUAUAUUCAUUCUGUUUUAGAAGACUUUAUACACCCAGUAUGACACAUCAGCUCUGAUGUGAGUCUGUAUCCAGACCUGAUUUCUUCACUGGCACUUUAACUUCACCUAAUUUCCCUCCUCCACCUCCAAAGCCCUGCUGCAUUUACAAUGCAAACUACAGAACUCUGUCACUGUGGCACGCUAAAUCUCAUACAU